rnacentral:rRNA from 1 species
CGUUAUCCGGAUCAUUGGGUUUAAAGGGUCCGUAGGCGGAUAAUUAAGUCAGGGGUGAAAUCCCACAGCUCAACUGUGGCACUGCCUUUGAUACUGGUUAUCUUGAGUUAUAGGGAAGUAGAUAGAAUAUGUAGUGUAGCGGUGAAAUGCAUAGAUAUUACAUAGAAUACCGAUUGCGAAGGCAGUCUACUACCUAUAUACUGACGCUAAGGGACGAAAGCGUGGGGAGCGAACAGGAUUAGAUACCCUGGUAGUCCACGCCGUAAACGAUGGAUACUAGCUGUUGGGCGUAAGCUCAGUGGCCAAGCGAAAGUGAUAAGUAUCCCACCUGGGGAGUACGUUCGCAAGAA